rnacentral:rRNA from 1 species
UACAGAGGUCUCAAGCGUUGUUCGGAUUCAUUGGGCGUAAAGGGUGUGUAGGUGGCGCGCUAAGUCGGAUGUGAAAUCUCGGGGCUUAACUCCGAAACUGCAUUCGAUACUGCCGUGCUUGAGGACUGGAGAGGAGACUGGAAUUUACGGUGUAGCAGUGAAAUGCGUAGAUAUCGUAAGGAAGACCAGUGGCGAAGGCGGGUCUCUGGACAGUUCCUGACGCUGAGGCACGAAGGCCAGGGGGAGCAAAACGGGG